CGAAUGGUGUUACGCCAACAGGUGGAUGGCUCGGCUCAAGAGCUGAUGAAGGACGUGCUAAGCUGCGAUAAGCUCAGGGUAGACGCAAGGAAUCUAUGAACCUGAGAUCUCCUAAUGGGAAUCCCGCUGCCCGCGAGGGCAGCGAUCAGUCAUGAUCGGUAACGCCCCGAAUUGAAACAUCUUAGUAGGGGCAGGAAAAGAAAUCAAAUGAGAUGCCGUUAGUAAAGGCGAUUGAAACCGGCAGUGUUCAAACUGAAUCCGCUAUAGGAAUAUUGCGGAGAUGUGGUUUACGGCUGACUCUUUUUUUCCUCUGUCACUUAAUCAAACUUGCCUGAAACGGCAGACCAUAGAGUGUGAUAGUCACGUCGAUGACGGUGAACGGAAAAAAUGUCAUGUCCUGAGUAGUGCGGGUCGGAAAUCUCGCACGAAUAUGGGGGUCACCAAUCUCCAAAACUAAAUACUCCUUGAGUCCGAUAGCGAAUUAGUAGGGUGACCGAACGCUGAAAAGUACCCCGAGAAGGGAGGUAAAAAGUGCCUGAAACCUGUUGGUUAUAGAACGAUGGUGCGCGCAAGGAUCUUUCUUGUGAAGGAAGAAACCGCGAGGUUUUUGUACGAAUAAGAUUGCCGGCGUUCCAUCUUAAGUUUUGAAGAACUGGCCAGGGAGUUUAUCUUGGUGGCGACGGCUAACUGUUCUCACAGGCAGCCAAAGCGAAAGCAACAGGUGCGCAGCCCUUCGGGCGAGGCACGGCGUAUACAAGUGCGCGGAGUCACCGGGAUAAGACCCGAAGCCGGGCGAUCUAGGCGUGGGCAGGUUGAAGCGUGGCGAAAGCUGCGUGGAGGACCGCAAGUGGUAUUGAUCUGCAAAUCAUUCACGUGACCCACGUCUCGGAGUGAAAUGCUAAUCUAGCCCGGCAUCCGCUGGUUCCCUCCGAAACAUGUCGCAGCAUGACCUGACCUGAGGUCGUUGGUGGAGUAGAGCACUGAUUGGGGAAUCCGGGGAAGAAAUUCUUCGCUCUUCUGUCAAACUCCAAACCCACCCACACCGUCGACGGUCGGAGUCCGCACUGCUGGGGUAAGCUUGUAGUGCGUAAGGGAGACAACCCUGCCCGUGGUUAAGGUCCCAAAGUGUCGGCUAAGUGUAAACACUAAAGGGCGUCCCAAGCCCAAAACAGCUGGAAGGUUAGCUUAGAAGCAGCUAUCCUUUAAAGAGUUCGUAACAGACCACCAGUCGAGGUUUGGGGCCCCGAAAAUUGACGGGGCUCAAGCCGACCACCGAUACCACGGAGUACCGUAUAGGUAAUCUCGUAGGAGGGCGUUGCGUUCGGGCAGAAGCAGGGCUGUGAAGUCCUGUGGACCGUUCGCAAACGAAAAUCCUGGUAAUAGUAGCAGCAUAGUCAAGUGAAAAUCUUGACCGCCGAAGGGGCCAGGUUUCCUCGGCAAUGAUCAUCAGCCGAGGGUUAGUCGGUCCUAAGAUGUACCGUAACUCGAGUACAUCGAAUCAGGGAAACAGGUUAAUAUUCCUGUACCGUUUCGACAAUCAUCCUGACGCUUCAGGGCAGACCGAGCGGCGUCGUCGCGCCGUUUAAUCAUCGAAAUUUGUGGAGAGCCGUAAUGGCGAGAAGCGAAUGAAUAUGUUAUGACGCAAGUCGGUUGCACCCCGGAGCCCGUGAAAAGGGGUCGAAUACGUCCGUACCAAGAUCUGACACAGGUGCCCCUAGCUGAAAAGGCUAAGGCGUGACGGAGUAAUUCAGUUUAGGGAAUUCGGCAAAUUAGCUCCGUAACUUCGGGAGAAGGAGUGCCUGCUGUGAAGACAGCAGGUCGCAGUGACCAGGGGGCUCCAACUGUCUAAUACCAACAUAGGAGAUCGCAAAUCCGUAAGGAUGAGUACGAUCUCUGAAUCCUGCUCAGUGCAGGUACCUCAAACCCCGGUUCAACGGGACGAAGGGCCUGUAAACAGCGGGGGUAACGAUGACCCUCUUAAGGUAGCGUAGUACCUUGUCGCUUAAUUGGCGACUUGCAUGAAUGGAUCAAUGAGAGCCCUACUGUCCCAAACUGGAAUCCGGUGAAGCUUACAUUCUAGUGCACAGUCUAGAGACCUCUAGGGGGAAGUGAAGACCCCAUGGAGCUUUACUGCAGCCUGUCGUUGAGUUGUGAUUUCGAAUGUACAGUGUAGGUAGGAGACGUCGAAG
rnacentral:rRNA from 1 species